AGAGUUUGAUCCUGGCUCAGGACGAACGCUGGCGGCGUGCUUAACACAUGCAAGUCGAACGAGAGCGUAGAGAAAGCUUGCUUUUUCUACAAUCUAGUGGCAAACGGGUGAGUAACGCGUAAACAACCUGCCCUACGGAUGGGGACAACAGCUGGAAACGGCUGCUAAUACCGAAUACGUUCCGAAAGUCGCAUGACUGUCGGAAGAAAGGAUGGCCUCUAUUUAUAAGCUAUCGCCGGAGGAGGGGUUUGCGUCUGAUUAGCUAGUUGGAGGGGUAACGGCCCACCAAGGCGACGAUCAGUAGCCGGUCUGAGAGGAUGAACGGCCACAUUGGAACUGAGACACGGUCCAGACUCCUACGGGAGGCAGCAGUGGGGAAUCUUCCGCAAUGGGCGAAAGCCUGACGGAGCAACGCCGCGUGAGUGAAGACGGCCUUCGGGUUGUAAAGCUCUGUUAUACGGGACGAAUAAUCUUGUGGUUAAUACCCAUGAGAAGUGACGGUACCGUAAGAGAAAGCCACGGCUAACUACGUGCCAGCAGCCGCGGUAAUACGUAGGUGGCAAGCGUUGUCCGGAAUUAUUGGGCGUAAAGGGCGCGCAGGCGGCUUCUUAAGUCUGUCUUAAAAGUGCGGGGCUUAACCCCGUGAUGGGAUGGAAACUGGGAAGCUCAGAGUAUCGGAGAGGAAAGCGGAAUUCCUAGUGUAGCGGUGAAAUGCGUAGAUAUUAGGAGGAACACCAGUGGCGAAAGCGGCUUUCUGGACGAAAACUGACGCUGAGGCGCGAAAGCCAGGGGAGCGAACGGGAUUAGAUACCCCGGUAGUCCUGGCCGUAAACGAUGGGUACUAG
rnacentral:rRNA from 1 species